AUAGCACCAGUAGCAGACAGACCAUCCUCAAGAGUGUGAACCUAAUGUGUCCACCUACUCUCCUGUGUGGGAGCAACUGGGAACCAUAUGUUGAUGACUUUUUUUCACCACAGAAUAUCCUAGAAGGUCUAUCCUAGAAGGGAUUAACAGUAUUUCAGGUCUGCCAUCCUAAGAUCCUGAACAUGGGAGAGUGCAUUUCAGUCCGUGUUUUGCUGAUGUUUCUGGCCCUAAUCAGCUAUCUAAUUGCACUGACAUUCAACAUAUUGGCUCUAUUUGGGCCCUGGACAGGUGCGUUUAUGCAAACCACACAGUAUGUGCUGAGCAAGUCCACAACGCACCUAACCCCGGAUAGAUGGGUACUCUUUCUAUGGGACGUCCUUAACAUCUGGUUGAUCGGCAUGUUCAUCUAUCUGAUACACAAUCUCCGUAGAAGGGAAGCCUAUACAUGGAUGUACACCACUCCUGCUGUCCUGCCCUACGGAUUCUACUUGUCCUGGAUCGUGAAUAGCAUUUUGAAUAUGGCGUGGUUAUUUCUGUACGACAAAGAAUUCUGUGUUUGUCAUAGAAAGAUGGUGCCAACGCUGCUGAUCACAGCAUUACAGGCCAUCUCCAACUGCGUGAUUAUCAUGUUCUCCUGCUACGGACUGGUCGUCUAUGGAGCAUGGCUCCAUAAAUAUCACAACAAUGAUCUCUGGCUCAUUCGAAUACUGGUGCAAAACGGAGUGGCUUUGUAUGCAACAUGGUGGGCUGUGGCUACCUUUUUACACUUGACCGUUGUUUUAGACCAUCAAACCCCAAUACCCAAGACAGAUGCUGCCAUAAUGGUACUAGUGCUGCUCCAAUUGGGACUCAUAGGAUGGUUUGUCAUAGAGAACUGGUAUCUGGAUAAGCACGUGCGCUACAUCCUCACAGUGUACCCUGUGGUGAUCCUGGUGUUGGCCGCGAGUGUGGCCAAUCCAGCCACGCCCGGUACCCACAUAGACAUCAUGUCUGCUGUCAUAUUGGCCAUAACUAGUGUCAUAUUCAUUGUGCGCAUUGUCAUGGUGUUAUGGAAGCACAACAACAAACCGUUUUACGGAGAAGAGGAGCUCAUGUCUCCAGUGGACAUCGCCAGAACACAGAAGCUCAUCUUUAUGUAGGAAGAAGAGAGCCACUGCGGAGAUUCACGUUUGAAUGUUGUUUUCCUAAACGUUUAAUGGCUGAGACGUGAUCAAACUCUCCCUGUGUUGGAUUCAUAAGGCUUUGCUUCAGCAAGACAUGUAGGUGAGGAUUUAGGCUAGUAGUGCCUUUGUACCGUACAGAUUUAGUUCAUAACCAUUGGCCAUGCUAAUGUCUUUUUCGAAAUCAUAUCAAUGACUGUGUGUGAUAAAACUAUGGACCGGCAUUCUCUUAUGACCGCAAUACUAAUUUAAUGACAUUAAUGUGAUUGUGUUCUUUUUUAAAUGUAUUUAGUUAACCUUUAACUGCCACCAUAUUGUUUUUAUACCAGGAUCUGAUCUACCUUUGUGUUUUGACGUUUUGUUUUAGGUGCUAUACUGUACAACAAUUUGGACUGCAUUUAUGUAUGAAUGAAGCUAUAGAAAUAAAGUGUAUUAUUAUACUUACCAAUGCACUUAUCUGUAAAUGCUAUUGUGAUUUAACAAUAGUAAAUACAACCGUGUGCCACUGUGCAGUAGUAAGAGCACCCAUUGGUUAGACACCAUGGGGAAAAAUAACCACACACACACACACACACACACACAGUAAACCAUGAUACACUGAC
ensembl:lncRNA